rnacentral:rRNA from 1 species
AUGGUGAUCAGCUUCAGUUGCUCGGCAAGUAGAAAAGCGACGUGGAUCUUGGCUUUGUUGUUCAUGAUGAGUCGAGUCCAUGGCCAGUCUACUAGGGGAUUCGUAAGCGUUGAUUGUGGACUGACAAACAGUAGCGCCUACAAUGAUGGUAUCACAAAUAUACGGUUUGAUUCUGACCGUGGAUAUGUCGCUGGCGGUUUGAGCCACACAAUUUUGGCAGAGUACAUGGUUGGUUCAGAUGAGCAACAAAAAACCCUGAGGAGCUUCCCUGACGGUUCACGAAAUUGCUAUACACUGCCAUCCACUUUUGGUAAGAAGUUCCUGUUGAGGGCCACAUUUACUUACGGCAACUACGAUGGGUUGAACAGGACUCUGGAUGGAUCGCCAUUUCUAUUUGGGCUCCAUAUUGGUGUCAAUUUCUGGGAUACGGUGAACUUGACAAAUUGGGAUCCAUCGCUCACAGUCUGGAAGGAGGUGCUCACCGUUGCUCCGGGCAACUCGGUGUCGGUCUGUCUGAUAAACUUCGGUUCAGGGACUCCGUUCAUGUCUGCUCUAGAGCUGAGGCCACUGCUAGAUGCGAUGUACCCUUUUGUGAAUACUUCCGUAUCAGUCGGCUACUUUAGACGAAUCAGAUUUGGUGAAGCCACUGAAUAUAUCACAAGGUAUCCAGUGGACCCUUACGACCGGUUCUGGGAGGGCUGGUCUUUCUCAUACAACACCUACCCCUGGAUCAACCUGAACACUAGCAGUCAAGUAGAGAUUCUCCCGGGCGACGACUACUUCAAUGUGCCGAUGGCCAUCUUCCAGAAGGCCACGACCCUAGACACGAACUACUCCUUCAUCGUGAUUAACGCGUCACUGGGUCCCAAUGUGGUUCCCGAGAGCGUCCGUCUUCUCCCGAUCUUCCACUUUGCUGAAAUCAAUGGUAACAACAUGCAGAGAAGCUUUGACAUCUACAACGCCGAUGAUGUACUACAUCGGGGCUUCUCCCCGUCGCGAUUGCAGGCCAGUAGUUUGUACAACAGUGGGCAGUUCUUGUAUAAUGGCGACGCAGUGUACACCCUGAACAAGGCGCGCGGCUCGAGCCUCCCCCCGCUCAUCAACGCGUUCGAGGUGUACUCACUCCUUCGGAUGGAAAACUUCACCACUGACUCCGAGGAUGGGAGAAUUAUGCAGAUCUCGGGGCCUGGUUCGUUUAGGUGCGAAGAUCUAAGUUGUGAUAUGUUUAAGUGCAAUUAUGAUAAACUAAUGGCUGAGAUCUGUUUAGUCAAUUACAUAAAACAAGUAAAAGCACACUACAAUUUGACAAGAAUAGACUGGAACGGAGAUCCAUGCUCCCCAAGAGAGUAUACCUGGGAAGGUUUGACUUGCGGCUACUCCAGUAGCAACAAGAAUCCGAGGAUUGUCCGAGUAAAUAUGUCUAGCAGCGGACUGGGAGGUGGAUUAGCCAUAUCACUUUUGAACAUGACAUCACUGGAAAAUUUUAAUUUGGCAAAUAACAAGCUCGAGGGACCAAUCCCCAGUUAUAUUCUUCGAAGAUUCCAGGCCGGUCUGCUAGACUUAAGACUAGAAGGCAAUCCCAUAUGCUCAAAAGUAAAAGAUAUGUACUGUUCAAAUAAGAAGAAGCACACCACACCUACCGUGCUCAUCGCAGUGAUAGUUCCAGUGGUAUUGGUAUCCCUCCUAGUAGUGAUGUGCAUACUCUGGAAAUUAUGCCAUAAAGGGAACUCGGGAGACUAUGAGGACUAUGCUACAUAUGAAGAGGAAACUCCCCUACACAUUGAUAUCAGACGGUUCACAUAUGCAGAGCUGAAGCUCAUGACUAAGGACUUCCAAUCAAUCAUUGGAAAAGGAGGUUUCGGUAUUGUUUACCAUGGCAUACUGGAAAAUGGUGAUGAAGUAGCUGUUAAGGUGCUUAUGGAGACAUCAAUAGCAAAGUCAACAGACUUCCUCCCCGAGCUCUAG